GCAGAGGAAAAGAACUUAGAGGAACAUGCCAUUCGGGAACUCUCUUCUCCACUGGUAGUAGAAGAAGCAACUAAAGAAAUCCCGAAAGAAGAAGAAACCUACCCCACGCUUCUAGAAGAAGAGGUAAUCUAGCAUUCAAUAUCAAAUUUUUAGAUUAAAAUACACUAUAGUAUUAUCUUGCAAAUUGAAAUUUACAACUCAUAUCGGCAACAGGAAAAGGAAGGGCAUGCAACAUGUAACAAGCCCAAUGAGGAAUAUGAGGCAGAGAUUGAGAAAAAUAUUCAGGAGAAAGAUGGCAACACAGUUAGCAAUUCUGAAUCUCUGUCUGGAGAACUGAGUCAUGUAACAGCCUUGAAGGAAUGUGAAACAGAGAUUGAAAGGCAGGACAGGAACAUUGAUACUGCUCCUGAAGAGAAGGGUCAAGCAACCAUCUCAGCAGAUGAAACAGCCUCGGAAGUUGAGGAUAUUGAUGUACAAUUAAAGGAGAACCUUGAGUCUAAAGAGAACUUGGAGGAACAAUUUCCAACAGCAGCAGAUGAAGGUGAAAUAAUCUUGAAAGAAGCUGAAGCAAAAAACCAGGAGCAGAUAAAAAAUGUUGAAAUUGCUCAUGAAGAUGUUGAUGCACAAGCGGAGAAAACUGUCAACUCAGAAGAGAACAUAGAUAAGCAGAUUCUGCCAAUAGCACAUGAAGGUGAAACAAGCUUGAAAGAAACCGCUGUCUUGAUUCUAAAAGAAGAGGUUAGCAUGAUAUCAGAAUUUUCGAUUUUUACAUUAUAGUUCAUUGUAUUACAUAUUCCAAUCAAGAAUUGGUAUCCCCCUGCAGAUAAAGGAAGAAGAUACAGAAUGUAAUGAGCCUGCUGAGGUAGCGAGUAUGACACAUGAAACACGAUCUGAAACCACAGAGGACAUAACAGAGCCAAAUAAGGACGUCAAUGCUCCAAUUUCAGGAGAAAGCAACAAAACAUUUGUUGAAAAUAUUUCCACACUCGCUGAGGUAUCUGAGACGGGGACUGAGAAAAAUGUUCAGGAGAAAAAUGGCCCGGCUGUCAGCAAUUCUGACUCUGCGUCAGGUGAAGUGAGUCAUGUAACAGGUUUGAAGGAAGCUGAAACAGAAAAGGAGGAGCAGAAAGAAAACAUUGAUACUGCUCCGGAAGAGAAGGUUCAAGCUACCGUCUUAAAAGAUGAAAUGGCCUCGGAAGUUGAAGAUAUUGGUGUACAAGCAGAGGAAAAUUGUGAAUCAAAAGAGAAGUUGGAGGAGCAUAUUCCAACAGCAGCAGACAAAGUUGAAACAUUCUCAAAGGAAGCCGAGGCAGAAAAUGAGGAGCAGAUAAACAAUGGUGAUGUUGCUGCUGAAGAGAAGGUUUCGGAAACCAUCUUAACAAAUGAAAGAACCUUCGACGUGGAAGAUACCAAUGUGCAAGCAGAGAAAAAUGUCGAAUCAAAUGAGAACUUGGAGGAGACUAUUCCAACAGCAGCGGAUGAAGGCGAAACAUCCCUGCAGGAAGCUGAAGCAGAAAGCAAGGAUGAGAUUAAAAGUACUGAAGCAGAAAGCAAGGAUGAGAUUAAAAGUGCUGAUAUUGUUCCUGAGGAGAAGGGUCUAGCAACCGUCUUAACAGAUGAAACACCCUUAGAUGUCAAGGAUAUUGAGGUAAAAACUGAGGACUGUGUUGAAUCAAAAGAGAAUGUGGAGGAGCAGAUUCCAACAACAGCAGAUGAAGGCGAAAAAAGUACUUAUAUUUCUCCUGAAGAUAUUGAAGUACAAGCAGAUGAAUUUAUUACACUAGAGAAUUUGGAGAAGCCGAUUCUAACAUCAGGUGAACGAGAAACAGGCUUGGGAGAAGCUGAAGCAGAAAUUAAGGAGCAGGUCAAAAGUAUUGAUAUUGUUCCCGAAGAGAUGGCAACCAUCUCAACAGCUGAGACACCCUCGGAUGUUGAAGUUAUCGGUGUACAAGCAGAGGAAAGCCUCAAAUCAAAAGAGAACAUGGAGGAGCAGAUUCCAACAGCACCAGAUGAAGGUGGAAAAUUCUUGAAGGAAUCCAAAGCAGAAAACAAGGAGCUGAUCGACGAGGAAAAUUUGAAUUCACAAGAAUCUUCAGACAAAGGAAAACAAGAAGUGACUGAAACUACUAACACACUAGAAGAUGACACAGCAAGGGAGGAGGUAAGAUUGGAAUAAACCUUUUCAUGAAUUUUUCUUUCGGUCUUAUCAUCCGACAAGUAGUUUCCUUAACGCGGUUUAGUUAUUGACCGAAAUGCAGGAUUCAUAACGUAUCACUGAUAGAUAUGAACAUGCGAAAAAACAAAGUUUUAUUUAAAAUGGCACAAACGAUUUGUAAAAUCUAUUCUCUCCUACAUAUUACGACGGUUUCAUCUUUAAUGUAGGUGCUUGAGAAUACCUGCACGGAGCAAGAAACUGGAGAACAUGUGGUACACGAAAUUCAUACUGUCGUGGAAACCCCUCGAGAUUCCGUUGAUAAAGAAACAAAUGAAGAGAACUCCGCGGGAUAUCAGGUUUACCUGGACACAAACAUAAAGCCUACAAAAGAGUUAUCCUUUUUCUUCGUCUCCCAGUGCAUAACCUUUGUGUUUUUUUCCUUCCAAUGUUAGGCAUGUACUGAUGCAGCUGAUUUGAGUACAACUGCAGAGGAAAAGAACUUAGAGGAACAUGACAUUCAGGAACUCUCUUCUCCGCUGGUGGUAGAAGAAGAAACUAAUGAAAUCCCGAAGGAAGAAGAAACCUACGCCACGCUUCUAGAAGAAGAGGUAAUCUAGCAUAGGAUAUCAAAAUUUUAGAUUAUUACAUUAUAGUAUUAUCUUGCAAAUUCAAAUUUACAGUUCAUAUCCACAACAGAAA
rnacentral:lncRNA from 1 species